rnacentral:misc_RNA from 1 species
CCUAUGUACAAGUUUCAGUUGGGAUUGUGAUGGCGAUUUAUUGGGAGUCGUAAGCCAGUCCCAAUUGAUGAUAUGGGACGCGAAUGCUACUAAAAAGAACAUAAUUGAUGUAGGCCUAAAAGAUUACAUGUCGUGUUUAGUGUGGGCAAAAACUGGCCCUGUAUUAGCAGUUGGAACUAUGAAAGGAAACGUCUCUAUUUAUAAUCAUGAUACUUCUAAGAAAAUUCCAAUUAUAGGAAAGCAUACGAAAAAAAUUACCUGCGGCGCUUGGAAUAGGGAUAAUCUUCUCGCUAUUGGUUCUGAGGAUAAAACAAUUUCAGUUAGUAAUAUUGAAGGAGACACAUUAAAAAUAAUCAACCUAAGGGCCGAACCAUCAGAUUUACAAUUUUCCGAAAUAAAACUGGAUGAAAGAGUUGGAGGUGAAAAUACUAUCAGUGCUGUGGUUGGGAGGCGAACCCUCUACUUAUAUAAAUUGCUGGAUCCAGAUAAUCCUUUCGAGUUAGCAUUCCAACAGCAUUAUGGUUCGAUAGUUACCUAUAAAUGGUACGGAGACGGGUACAUGCUGAUAGGAUUUUCCGCAGGAUUUUUUAUUUCCAUAUCCACUCAUAUCAAAGAAGUUGGACAAGAACUGUUUCAAAUCAGGAACCACAAAAAUAUACUAACUGAUAUAUCAAUUUGUGAGACUGUGGGAAAAGCAGCGUCUUGUGGUGAUAACAAUGUGAAAAUUCAUGACUUAUCGAAUCUUCAAGAAACGUCUAGUGUUUUAAUUUUGCCCCAAGAAUCGGGAUUAGAACGAAUUUCGUGGAGCUCAGAUGGUCAGUUGCUUGCUGUUAUUACUAGAGGUGGAUCGGUCAAUGUUUACAUAUCUCAUAUGCAACUUCUCAGCUCUGUGUGUCCUCCGCGAGUCGCCAUUCUGUCAAGCUUAACAGAAGUUAGUCUUUACAGUUAUAGCUCUGAUAAUAAGCAAAAGUUGAAGCCAGUUUUUGUCAACUUACCAAUCGAACCUUCAUUUAUUGGUGUUGGUCAAUUUCAUAUGGCUGCCGGUAUGAAUAACAGGAUUUGGUUUUAUGACUUGACAAAGUCUCAGCCAGGCUCAGAGGAUAUGCCUUUGAGUUUAAGCGACCGGCAGUAUUUAGGAGCUGUAACUAGCGUAAAGCUUAAUCCGGAAUACGCGUCUGUUCUUUUUGAAGGAAAAAUCCAACUGCACAUGAUUGAACAACCUGAUCUUUGCCAUGAAGACCGCGAAUCAAUGAUGUUUCCAGAAGCUUUAAAUCAAAAUCUAGUCAUUACUUGCCAUGACCUUACUACGGAUUUUUUAGUAUAUGGUACUGAUAUGGGUCAUAUAAUUUACUUUCAUAUAGAAGAGUGGUCGAAAGCAAUAGAAUACAAACAUAAUAUUGGAAUAAGUAAUAUUUAUGUAGAUCCCGCAGGCACAAGGUUGGUUCUUAUAGAUGGAAAAGGUCUUGGAUACGUGUAUAACGGGGUUACCAAUGAGCUAAUACCUAUACCAAAUAUUCCAAGUAAAGUGAACGGUGUCACAUGGGACAGUAAUAUUUGUGAUAGAAACAUUUUCAUUAUUUACGAUGACAAUGAUAUAUAUACUUAUUUAUAUAUAAAACUACACAUUGAUGGAACACGAGUUAAAAAAAUUGGUGAAACUGUUCUGGUGUCAAAACAGAUCCCAUUAAUAAUGUAUCAGGGAGAAGUUAUGUGUGCAACAUCUAAUGCUCAACUGUCUCAAUUAAAUCUUACUACUCACGACAGUUCCCAAGUGGGAAUGAUACUGGAAAGAGACAAAAAUGUCACGGAAUCCAAUUUUUUUAAACAGUUAGCACUACACAGGUUUCAGUCCGCUUUUAAAACAUGCCAACAUUUAAACUUAAAAGAUUUGUUAUUGUUAUUAGGUGAAGAAUGCCUCAGGUGUCUUGAUUUUGAUACAGCUAUUCAGAUUUAUAGCAGAAUAGAUGAUGUGUCAAUGGUAUUGUGUCUCCAGAGCGUUUUAGAUAUUGAAGAUUGGAAGUUACUGUUUGGUUACACCGCUAUGUUUCUAAACGAAUACGAGAAAGCACAAGCUUGGUUCUUAAAAUCGAAUCAACCUUUACUUGCUUUAGAAAUGAGACGUGAUUUAUUACAGUGGGAAGAAGCACUACGGUUGGCUAAAAAAAUGGCUCCCGAACAGGUCUGCAUGAUAUCCCGGGAAUAUGCACAGCAAUUAGAAUUUUUAGGGAGUUACAGUGAGUCGUUGGUUCACUAUGAGAAAGCCUUGCAAGAAAACUUGAGCGCCGAACACACAUUCACGUGCAAGGCUGGAAUUGCACGAACAACUUUACAUUGUGGAAAUUAUCGUCAUGGCAUUAGCAUAGCUAUGGAAUUGGACCACAAGCAAUUGCUUAGAGAAUGUGCCGAAAUACUUGAUAAAAAAAAGCAAGUUGCUGAAGCUGCAAUGCUGUAUGAAAAGUGUGAUCAGUUUGACAAAGCUGCAUCGAAUCAUAUACUGCUAAAAAAUUGGAAGACAGUCGGCGAGUUGUUGCCUAAUGUAACAUCCAAUAGAAUCUACCUACAGUAUGCUAAAGCUAAAGAAGCAGAAGGGCAAUUUGAAAAUGCUGUUAAAGCCUAUGAAAAAGCGAGAGAUUAUGACUCAAUGAUUAGACUACAUUUAAAUCAUUUGAACAAUCCUGAAGUCGCCGUUGAAAUUGUUCAAGAAACAAAGAGCGUUGAAGGAGCUAAACUAGUUGCUAUGUUUUUCCAAAAACUGAAUGACAUGUCGUCCGCAAUCAAAUUUUUGGUUCUAUCAAAAUGCAUAGACGAUGCUUUUGAGUUAGCCAAGAAAAAUGGAAAACUUGAGCUUUAUGGUGAGGUGCUUCUCAAUAGUUUUACUGAGGAUGAAAUGAAACCUAAAGAUUUUGCAAAUAUUGCUCAAUAUUUUGAAAAUGAACGCGACUCUUUUUUGUCUGGAAAAUAUUGGUUUCACGCCAAAGAAUAUCAGAAGGCAAUGAAACACCUGCUUACUGCUGCAAAAUCCAACUCUAAAGAAAAGGAAGCUAUAACAGUGGCAAUUGAUGUAGUUGCUUCUUCAAAAGACCAGUCGCUUGCCCAAAUUCUUAUCGAGUUUUUAAUUGGAGAUUCGGAUGGCUUUCCAAAGGAUCCUAAGUAUUUGUUCAGAUUAUAUAUGGCAAGAAAACAGUACAAAGAAGUAUCUAAAUCAGCAUUGAUAAUCGCGAACGAGGAGCAGAUUAAUGGAUUUUACAGGAAUGCACAUGAUGUCCUAUUUGCAAUGUACCAAGAACUUAAGCAAAACAGCAUUACCAUUCCUUUAGAGAUGUAUACGAAUUUGUUGCUGUUAUAUAGUUAUAUCUUAGUGAGGCUUCAUGUGAAAAGUGGAGAUCACAUGAAAGGCGCGCGAUUGCUUAUAAAGGUUGCGAAUAAUAUAUCCAAGUUUCCUUCUCACAUUGUUCCCAUUUUAACGUCAACCGUAAUAGAAUGCCACAGAGCAGGAUUGAGACAUGCGGCAUAUAAGUUCGCAACUGAUCUAAUGAAUCCCGAAUAUAGAAAGCAGGUUGAUAAGAAAUACGCAAAGAAAAUUGAAGCAGUGGUUCGCAAGCCGCCAAAAACUGGAAAAGAUGGUGAAGAAGCUGGAGAUCCAUUGGAAUCAACCAGUCCAUGUCCAUACUGCGAGAAAAUGUUACCGGAAAGUGAAAUAAACUGCAACAAUUGCAAAAAUAAUCUGCCCUUUUGCAUUGCAACGGGCCGUCACAUAACUACCAGCGGGCUCACAUGUUGCCCGAAUUGUGAAUUUCCAGCUUUCUGGAAUGAUUUUCUCGAGUGCAGCCGAGCACCAGAGCUGAUGAUGCUUUCGAUAUUGAAUUGCAUUAUAUUCUUGAAGAUAAUCUGAGCGGCAUAUAUUAUUAUGUGAAAUAAAGUAAUGAUAAAGCGAGUAACAUUUCCUUUGGAGAAACCAGAAUGAUUUAUCGGUGUAACCCCUCUUUUUUAACAAUGGGGAGAAUCAAGUUUAUUCACAUCGUUUGCCAACGAAAAAUGAAAUUACGCAUUCCCAAACUGUUCAGGAUUCUACGUAUAAGUUUUCCAACGGAACAUACUUCUCAAAGUAUGAUUAUGCUGUGUAUAUUCGAGAGACUCAGUAUCAGGGAGUAUUUGGAAAUGACUAUGGGGCAUUUGUUAUAUCGCCCAGUAGAGAAUAUCGCGGUGGUGGUGCAAUGAAGCAAGAUCUAACAGUUCACCAGUAUUCGUUGGUUGCUAAUUAUUUCCUAAGUGCCCACUUUGGAUCCGCAUCUUUUAAUGCUUUUCCCGGCUGGACCCAUAUUUACGGUCCAUUUUUGAUUUAUUUUUCUUCGGGCAACGAUGAGCAAAUUUUGAAUGCCGUUGAAGCGCAAGUAACCAUUGAGCAGGAAAAAUGGCCGUAUAGUUUUGUGAAUGAUAAUGACUAUCCCUUGAUAAGAGGAUCUGUAAGUGGGAAAGUAACUGGCCAAACAAAGGCUGCUAUUACUUUGUAUGAUUCAACUGAAGAACAAUAUGAUUUACAACAGCUGGGUUAUUUGUACGCUACGACUACUGAUGCUAACGGGAAUUUUGUUAUCAAUAAUGUACGUCCAGGAUUUUAUAAAAUAGUCGCGUAUCCCGUUGCCGGACAAGGUAGCGAGAAUUUAGC